rnacentral:rRNA from 1 species
GAUGAACGCUGGCGGCGUGCUUAACACAUGCAAGUCGAACGGAGUUAGUAGCAAUACUAACUUAGUGGCGGACGGGUGAGUAACGCGUGAGUAACCUGCCUUUUGCAGGGGAACAACACAGGGAAACUUGUGCUAAUACCGCAUAACAUAGUUGGAUGGCAUCAUCUGACUAUCAAAGGAGAAAUCCGGCAGAAGAUGGACUCGCGUCUGAUUAGCUAGUUGGUGAGGUAAUGGCCCACCAAGGCAACGAUCAGUUGCCGAACUGAGAGGUUGAUCGGCCACAUUGGGACUGAGACACGGCCCAGACUCCUACGGGAGGCAGCAGUGGGGAAUAUUGCGCAAUGGGGGAAACCCUGACGCAGCAACGCCGCGUGAAGGAAGAAGGCUUUCGGGUUAUAAACUUCUUUGAUGAGGGACGAAAAAAUGACGGUACCUCAAAAACAAGCCACGGCUAACUACGUGCCAGCAGCCGCGGUAACAC